UUUAUUUUUUUUACACACUGUUGCGAAAGCCGAGCAACCACGAAGGUUCCAUGGGUGGUGCCGUGCCAAGAGGAGGAGAUAUCCAGAGAGAUCAAAAAACUGUUUUAUAUACAAAUUUACAUGUGGUAUUUUACAAGAAGGGCUUCACGAUAUUGGAGCAGUCUACAUGCUAACAUCUUUGCACGUAGUAGCCGUUUACAUCUCCAAGCAUUCAACAUAGAGCGUCUUCACAACACUCA